GACGAACGCUGGCGGCGUGCUUAACACAUGCAAGUCGAACGGAAAGGCCCUGCUUUUGUGGGGUGCUCGAGUGGCGAACGGGUGAGUAACACGUGAGUAACCUGCCCUUGACUUUGGGAUAACUUCAGGAAACUGGGGCUAAUACCGGAUAGGAGCUCCUGCUGCAUGGUGGGGGUUGGAAAGUUUCGGCGGUUGGGGAUGGACUCGCGGCUUAUCAGCUUGUUGGUGGGGUAGUGGCUUACCAAGGCUUUGACGGGUAGCCGGCCUGAGAGGGUGACCGGCGACAUUGGGACUGAGAUACGGCCCAGACUCCUACGGGAGGCAGCAGUGGGGAAUAUUGCACAAUGGGCGGAAGCCUGAUGCAGCAACGCCGCGUGCGGGAUGCCGGCCUUCGGGUUGUAAACCGCUUUCGCCUGUGACGAAGCGUGAGUGACGGUAAUGGGUAAAGAAGCACCGGCUAACUACGUG
rnacentral:rRNA from 1 species